GGUGAUUGUGUGUCUGGUCCAUGUUAACUUGAUUUGGCGACCGAACUGAAAAUUGUUGGUUGAUAAUUUCAUGACUAGAUCCACACUCAUCCA
rnacentral:pre_miRNA from 1 species